rnacentral:rRNA from 1 species
ACACAUGCAAGUCGAACGGCAGCGCGGGGCAACCUGGCGGCGAGUGGCGAACGGGUGAGUAAUAUAUCGGAACGUACCCUGGAGUGGGGGAUAACGUAGCGAAAGUUACGCUAAUACCGCAUACGAUCUAAGGAUGAAAGCAGGGGACCGCAAGGCCUUGUGCUCCUGGAGCGGCCGAUAUCUGAUUAGCUAGUUGGUAGGGUAAAAGCCUACCAAGGCAUCGAUCAGUAGCUGGUCUGAGAGGACGACCAGCCACACUGGAACUGAGACACGGUCCAGACUCCUACGGGAGGCAGCAGUGGGGAAUUUUGGACAAUGGGCGCAAGCCUGAUCCAGCAAUGCCGCGUGAGUGAAGAAGGCCUUCGGGUUGUAAAGCUCUUUUGUCAGGGAAGAAACGGUGAGGGCUAAUAUCCCUUGCUAAUGACGGUACCUGAAGAAUAAGCACCGGCUAACUACGUGCCAGCAGCCGCGGUAAUACGUAGGGUGCAAGCGUUAAUCGGAAUUACUGGGCGUAAAGCGUGCGCAGGCGGUUUUGUAAGACUGUCGUGAAAUCCCCGGGCUCAACCUGGGAAUGGCGAUGGUGACUGCAAGGCUAGAGUU